rfam:Schistosoma margrebowiei strain Zambia genome assembly, scaffold: SMRZ_contig0001024
GCACUGCUGAGGAGUCCCCAUACUAGGACGAAACGGCCGUCCAGUGC